UACAGAGGUCUCAAGCGUUGUUCGGAUUCAUUGGGCGUAAAGGGUGCGUAGGUGGCGCUGUAAGUCGGGUGUGAAAUUUCGGAGCUUAACUCCGAAACUGCAUUCGAUACUGCGGUGCUUGAGGACUGGAGAGGAGACUGGAAUUCAUGGUGUAGCGGUGAAAUGCGUAGAUAUCGUAAGGAAGACCAGUGGCGAAGGCGGGUCUCUGGACAGUUCCUGACGCUGAGGCACGAAGGUCAGGGGAGCAAACGGG
rnacentral:rRNA from 1 species